rnacentral:rRNA from 1 species
UAGCUAUAUUCGGACGGGAUAACUGCUGAAAGCAUCUAAGCAGGAAGCCUCCUUCAAAACGAGCAUUCCCUUGAGAGCCGUGGAAGACCACCACGUUGAUAGGCCGGAUGUGGAAGCGCAGCGAUGUGUGAAGCUGACCGGUACUAAUAGCUCGAUUGGCUUGAUCGUUCUCAUU